GGCGUUGGCGGCCAGGGGGCUAGUGGUAGCGCCAAUAUCUGCAUAUAUGGCAGGAGAGACCUGUCGCUCACCGGGGGUAGCAGUGGGGGUUUGUAUUAAACCAGCGGGGUAACCAGGGAAGCCUAUACAAAAGACGACACACACGACUGCAUUUCCGGGUGUUUCUAUGGUUACUGUGGUGCUUACUUGGACUUCCUGUUAUGCCCAAAACACCGUGUGUUGCCCCACCAACCCCGGCACUGCAAGCUACGACAGCCGAAGCUGACCGUGCAGCCAUAGAUGAAGAAGUGAUUCCAUUCAAGCCUGCCAAAUUACAUAAAAAAACGAUCACUUCCACAACUCUAAGUCACGCAGUCCCCCUCAAGUAACACACAAUGACCAUACCUCCACACAGAUACAAACACAUUUUCCUUUCUUGUUCUUUGCAUCAGUAAGGAAACAAAAAUUGUUAACAAAACUUUUAUUCCCAAAAGAGACCAAAUACCUGAUCACACUAUUAUAGGUAACCAGGAUUACACAGGAUGAAGAGAUUGUGAUAAUACAUCAUAGAUAGUUCAAGGUUAAUCCAAGAGGAAGAAGAGAAGACGAUCCUAACUUAUUGCUGACAGUUUUUGUGUAAAAGAUACAUGUACUGCUAUUAAAAUCCUUUCAGGCUUCCAUCUCAUUUGCUCAAAUCCAGAUUUUAACAAUACAUAUAAAUAAUAGAUUCAACACAGUGAGCAGUACUAGUUAUCAAGGACCAGAAAGAAGAUUCUUGUUCUCUUCUCCCUCUUUAUUUUCAGUUUUUCAUCUACAUUAAAGUUAAACAUAAAUUGUCAAAAAUUCUACAGAAACAAAACAGUGCACUAUGUCAAUUCUAAAAAAAAAAAAUAAAAAAAAAAUAA